GGAAGGUGAAGAUUUGAAUGGAGAUAGACUUGGCUUUUUAUAGCAGGAAUGUUGUGAAAUGGAGCUAGGCGCUUUGAAUGAAGUAGGGAAUAUAUACCAUUCCUUCUGUUCAUAACCGACAGUUUCUCCUCUCUUAGUGCAAAUGCUUUAUAUCUUUAAACUUUCGCGACCCAAACAAUCGACUCUUAAUAUGCUGGAACACUACUUUCUGACCUACAUUCUUUUUUUGUAACAAAUGAAGGUCCUCCAU
rnacentral:misc_RNA from 1 species